CCCUUAGAUGUUCUGGGCUGCACGCGUGUUACAAUCGGGAGUACAACAAGAUUGCAAAUCCUAGUGGAUGAGUGGUUCUUCGAAAUUUUCUGAAGACUGGGAUAGUUGAUUGAAAUUAUUCAACUCGAACGAGGAAUUCCUUGUAAUUGUAAUUCAUUAUAUUGUAAUGAAUACGUCCCUGCCCUUUGUACACAUCGCCCGUCGCUCCUACCGAUUGAACGAUCCGGUGAAUUAUUUGGAGUAGCUCUGGAAGUUGCAGAACUUCCUAUGUCACGAAAUUUUGUAAACCUUAUCGUUUAGAGGAAGGAAAAGUCGUAACA
rnacentral:rRNA from 1 species